rnacentral:rRNA from 1 species
UACCAGACUCCUACGGGAGGCAGCAGUGGGGAAUAUUGCACAAUGGGGGGAACCCUGAUGCAGCGACGCCGCGUGGGUGAAGGAGCACCUCGGUGCGUAAAGCCCUAUCGGCAGGGAAGAAACAGACGGUACCUGACUAAGAAGCCCCGGCUAACUACGUGCCAGCAGCCGCGGUAAUACGUAGGGGGCAAGCGUUAUCCGGAUUUACUGGGUGUAAAGGGAGCGUAGACGGCAGAGAAAGUCUGAAGUGAAAGCCCGCGGCUCAACCGCGGAACUGCUUUGGAAACUUUUCGGCUAGAGUACCGGAGAGGUAAGCGGAAUUCCUAGUGUAGCGGUGAAAUGCGUAGAUAUUAGGAGGAACACCAGUGGCGAAGGCGGCUUGCUGGACGGUAACUGACGUUGAGGCUCGAAAGCGUGGGGAGCAAACAGGAUUAGAUACCCCCGUA